rnacentral:rRNA from 1 species
GGUUCGGAAUAACUCAGGGAAACUUGAGCUAAUACCGGAUAACGUCGCAAGACCAAAGAUUUAUCGCCGAAAGAUGAGCCCGCGUAGGAUUAGCUAGUUGGUGAGGUAAAGGCUCACCAAGGCGACGAUCCUUAGCUGGUCUGAGAGGAUGAUCAGCCACACUGGGACUGAGACACGGCCCAGACUCCUACGGGAGGCAGCAGUGGGGAAUAUUGGACAAUGGGCGAAAGCCUGAUCCAGCAAUGCCGCGUGAGUGAUGAAGGCCUUAGGGUUGUAAAGCUCUUUUACCCGGGAAGAUAAUGACGGUACCGGGAGAAUAAGCCCCGGCUAACUCCGUGCCAGCAGCCGCGGUAAUACGGAGGGGGCUAGCGUUGUUCGGAAUUACUGGGCGUAAAGCGCACGUAGGCGGCUUUGCAAGUUAGAGGUGAAAGCCUGGGGCUCAACUCCAGAAUUGCCUUUAAGACUGCAUCGCUUGAAUCCGGGAGAGGUGAGUGGAAUUCCGAGUGUA